GCGGAAGUGGCCUGAGCUUUUAGGAUUUACCAUCAAGUCAUUGUGUCACUUCCUAUGGACCCUAUGUGAUGGUUAAUAUUGAUUGUCAACUUGAUUGGAUUGAAGGAUGCAAAGUAUUGUUCCUGGGUGUGUCUGUGAGGGUGUUGCCAAAGGAGAUUUGAAUCAUUUGAGUCAGUGGACUGGGAGAGGCAGACCCACCCUCAAUCUGCCAGCAUGGCUAGGCUAGAAUAAAGCAGGCAGAAGAAGGUAAAGGAGCAGACUUGCUGAGUCCUCCGGCCUUCAUCUUUCUCCUGUGCUGGAUGCUUCCCGCCCUCGAACAUCAGAUUCCAAGUUCUUCAGCUUUUGGACUCUUGGACUCUGGACUUACGCCAGUGAUUUGCCAGGGACUCUCAGGCCUGGCAAGACUCUCAGGCAGACCGAAGGCUGCGUCGUCGGCUUCCCUACUUUUGAAGUUUUGGGAUUCAGACUGGCUUCCUUGUUCCUCAGCUAGCAGAUGGCCUGUUGUGGGACUUCACCUUAGUUUUUUUUGUUUCGUUUUGUUUUGUUUUUGAGACAAGGUCUCACUCUGUCGCCCAGGCUGGAGUGCAAUGGCUCAAUCUUGGCUCACUGCAACCUCCGCCUCCCAGGCUCAAGCAAUUCUCCUGCCUCAGCCUCCUGAGUAGCUGGGACUACAGGAACACACCACCACGCCUGGCUAAAAGGGACUUCACCUUGUGAUCAUGGUGUACCAAUGAUCUGUCAAGUGAUGCGACACUAGAAUCAGGCUGGAAUUUGGCGUCUUACGGCUACAAAAGUGUUUCAUCAGUCUUCAGGUCUCUGUGCUGAUGUUAAUGCUGGUCAGCUGUGCCUGAAUUCCAACGGGAGGAAGGAAAGAUGAUGUGCAGAGACACAGGGAGAAGACGGCCAUCCACAAGCCAAGGCGAGAGGCCUGGACAGAUCUUUCCCUCACAGUCCUCGGAAAGAACCAAUCCUUUGAACUUCUUGAUUGUGGACUUCUAGGCUCCGGAAGUGUGAGGCAAUAAAUUUAUGUUAUUUGAGCCCCAGUUUUGUGGGUACCUUAUCUGGCAGGUCUAAGAAACGAACACAGACAUGCCAGUCUCAUGGCAGAGGGAAAAAAGUAUAUGCAUGGAAAUAUUCAGUGGUUUUUCAAGCUUCUGCUCAGAACUAGCUUACAUAAUUUCCCCUCGCUCUCCCCUGGCCAAACCUAACAAUGGGGUGACUCUGAUUGGAAUCUAGAGGAACCACAGAUGCAUAUGUCUGCUAAGUGCUGAGGAACAGGAAGGAUGGGGCCUGGAGAGAAAAACAAAGGCAAAUUUACCCCAGUUUUCAGGGGCUUCGGUAGAUGAAGCUCUGCUAGAGGAGAGACCUGUAAUAAACACAAUCUCCAACAUGAAGCGAGCUGGGUUUUCUCUAAAGCUGCAUCCAUCCCAAGUCAGCUCAACUCCUGAUUAGAACCAGGUGAUCGGCCCCUCACCUUAUUUGCCAGACAGAGGAAAGGCAAGCCCUGUCUGAAAAAAGGGGGGAUAAUUUUGACUUUAGUCUCUACUAUCCUUUUAUAGACAAUGUCUGAAAUAGAGACAGAGAGAGACAGAGAGACAGAGAGAGGGAGAGAGAGAUGAAAUGAAGUAGGAAGAUGUGACCAUAACCAAGAACAAAUAUAAUUAGGUAUUAGGUUUGGAGCUAGACAGUUUUGGCCCUACAGUUUUUUAGGCCGAUCAUUUUAGUCAUCUGUGUUAACUCAGUGUCCCCGCAGGCAACUGAGUUUGUGACCUACUACUCCCUCAUUAGAACAUGAAGCUUAUGUUCAAUAUAUAGGAAGAAUGGGAAAAUAAUAUAAAUUUAAAAUUCCAAAGUGUAAUUAUAUUUUUAAUCAUGUGCUUUGAAAUGAUCAGGACCAAAAGGAAACUGAAGAAAACUCUUUAGCAUCUUCAAUAGCUAUCCCAUGUAUUUAUCUGUUCAACAAGUAUACGCUAGGCAUUGUGCUAAGUGUUAGAAAUUUGGGAAUGAACAAGACAGACCCAGGUUAUGUUCCAGUGGAGUUUAGAGUGCAACAGGCAGAACCAUUAACUAAAUAAGGAAAAUGAAGGCAAAAGGCUAAGGUAACUACAACAACUACAAAAUAGAGUGCUAAGACCAAAAAUGGUGUUUAUGGUCCCCAGAAUGUAGUGAGGGUGGGAUUCCUCUGGAGGGCACUGCUCUGUCACGUGAGUGGGUAUGUGGGUCAUUGGCCACAGGGGAUAUGAUCCCUAUCUCUUCUUAUGAAACUGCUUUCACUUAGGAAGACUCACUCCCAGGAAAGAUGGGAUCCCUCCAAUCCCUCGUUGUUUCAGCUGGAGAAUCGCCUCAGAUUUCUGAAUAGAAAUACCUGAGAGCCCGGUGAGGACCUAUGCCUCUGCCCCUAUUCCCCAGAGUACCACUGCUCCUCAGUUCUUGGAUGUCGGAAGCCUUGACUAGCUUUAAUUCUCUGUUGUUUUUGGCCAAAGUGAGAGAGUUUCUACUAACAUAUCCUUAUUCUCUUUUCUGCCCUGGUGUCUAACAGUUUAUUCUGCUUAUUAUGCCCGUAUCUUUACUCCUCUAAACUUAACAGUACUGAUAAUAAUGGCACCAGAUGACCCAGGUAGAGCAUUUACCACAUACAGGCACUGCUCUAAGGAGUUUCCAUAUGUUAAUUCAUUUUAUCCUCACAACACCUGGGUGUAAUGCUCCUUUAUUAUUAAUUUAUUAUCAUAUAACACUAUUAUUUAUUUUAUAUUCUCAUCAUUAUUGAUCUAUUCUGGCCUUCAAGACCUUAUGUUUCCUUUAAUAUCCACAUAACCCAUUUCCUCAGAGCUUAACCUUUCCCCUGAGGAUUAUUUUUCUUCCUCCAGUUUAAUUAGUCUGUCUUUCUUGAUUUAUUUUCAUGUUUCUACUGCUUCUGUUCCGAGAUGAAGGCUGAACCAAUUUUUUAAAAAGCCACUGUCAAGUCUUCCUUGACUUCUGAGCAAACUUGAUUCCUAGAGGCAGAAUGUUUCAAGCACAGGCCUUUUAAAUUACCUUUUUUCUUGGUUCUGCAAUAUUUCAGUUGAGCCUAAGAAGUUAGCAUUUGUUUCUAUACUAAAGGCCCUAUUUAUUUUUAUUUUUAUUUUUUUGGUGAAAUAAACCACUCUUCUGUGAAUUCAGCUACAACUUGUGUCUUACACCAUUUUUAAGCCAUUUCAGAACUUAUGCAAUUAAAAAAUCCAGAGCCAACUUGAGAUUAUAUGAGGGAUAGAGUUUUAAGCAUUUGUGGACAAGAGCUUAGCUAAGCUAAGCUUAUAUCCAAGCGUAGCUCCUCCACUAUUUCCUAUUUUUCAUGAAUGAAAUUCCGAAUGACAUGAAACAUCACAGUAUUUGGAGAAAUCUAUGCCACUCUCUACUUUGGCCUCACAUUAACAAGUUCAAGCUAAGAUUCCACACUAUUUUUCUGUAGUUUCUGUAGAACACAGUUGUAAUUUAAGAUUUGAUCUAAUUGGCAAAACAAUACAAAAAAAACCCAAGUGAAAGCUUCAAAUAAUUUAUGCAACUCCCAAAUAUCUAAAAAGCAUGACAUGAGAACACUUUCCUGUGUAAUCAAGUCCUCCGCUUACUAUGGCCCCAUGGCCGCCCGUACCUGCUCGGGUUCCCUCCACCCCUCAAACUGCAUUUUUUUGCUAAGGUGCCUGUGUGGUUUCAAUGUGAAGCAAUGGCAGUAUGCACCUGCAGAUGCCCAGCAGCCUGAGAAAUUGAGAUAUGCUGAGACCAAGGCACCCUGUGCUUUUGCUGAGGCCUGCUUGAAUAUUCCUAAACCCAGUGAAGAGGUACAAAACAACUACUUGCCUGUGAACAAAGUUUCCAUAAACUUCAGUGACAUGUCAAGGAAAAACAAAUCCAUGCAGUUUUAAACUCUCCACUUUCUGCUCCAGUGUCCAAUCUUUUAUUGUUACUUUGUCCCUCAAAUUCAGCUUUGUAUAUAUAUAUUUUUCAAGUUUCAAACAGAUUUUGGAGUUUUAGGAUGCCCAAUGAAUGACACCUUGCUUUCUCUACCCAAGAUUGAACCAAUUGGAGAGACAAAACAGUGAAAGACAGAGAGCAAAAUAUUACUUCUAUUACUGAGGAAGGGUUUUGGGUGACCUCUGUGAGUGGCAACAGUGGGCUUUCUAACUUUGAACAUUAGAACUAGGCAGACCUGUGCACUGGGUCCCAGGCAGUCCUGGAAAGCCCUAUGCCUCCCAAAUUAAGCUGUUCCUUUAAAACUUACAGCAAAGAAGAACAGAUGAGACGAGACGAGCACUUAUGGUAUCUAUAACAGCCGGACAGGGACACUGUGGAAAGAGUUAAGCUGCACAUGCUCAGUUCCUUACCCCAAACUCACCAAUCAGCCAUUCCUCAUCCCUAGGGCUAGAAGGACCAUGAGGGCAAGAGUGCCAGAAGUGGUUGGCAGUGGAGCUCCAUCCGCACAGAGGGAACUAGCAUGAGUGAGAAAGUGUGUCCCCCUGCUUACAAUUUAAUAGGGAAAACACUAACAAUGGUGCUAAUUAGGCAAAGGACAAUAUAAAAUAGAGAUUUUUCUAUAGAAAAUCAGGCAAAAGACAUAGACAACAGAAGAAAUCCAAAGUAUAAAGAAAUAGCUGAAAAUUGUUCAAUUCCACUUGUAAUAAAAUAAUUGAAAAUCAAUUAUGAUACUGUUUUUCCACUAAAGUAGUGAAAAUGUUAUAAAAUUUCUAGAAAUUAUUUCAAUCAAGAUAUUUAAUGUGUUUUAAUGCAUUAAGUUCAUUUCUGGAAAUACGGUAAAAGUAAAUGAUGAUAAUAUGGACAAAUAUUUAAGGACAAAGAUGUUUCUUGUAGUGUAAUUUAUACUAACAAAAAUGUGAUAAUAACCUCAAUAUUUAACUGUGGAAUACUGGUGAAUUAAUUGUAAUGAUGGACUAUUAUGUGGCUAUCAACAUUAAUCUUUAAUAAAAUUUAACAACUUUGAGCAAUGCUCAUGAUUAAAGAUUAACAAAUCAAGAUAUACAGAUCUCUCUGUGUGUAUAUUUAAUAAUGCAA
rnacentral:lncRNA from 1 species